UAGUGAAGGAUAUUGAGCAAUACAUGCAAGGCAAGAAAGUCAAGUAUCAACACAUUUACAGGGAAGAAAAUCAGUUAGCUGAUUAUCUUCCAAAUGUAGCCAUUGAUACAGGAGAGGUCAUCAUUACUAGUUUACAACAACUAUAACAGAAAGAAAAAGCCAUACUUAAAAGUGAUAAAUGGUGGUUCCCCUACUUGAGAAUUACAUCCAUAUGCAGUUAAAGGGCAAAGGAAGUCUUAGGCAGCAAAGUUUACAUGCAUCAUAUUUACAGGAAAUAAAAAUAGAAAAAGGAGAGCAUGUAGCUAGCCUAGUCUAUUACAGCCAACAAAUGGACUCUCAGCAUCAUGGGAGGAUCUAUGGAUCGAUUUGAGCUUCUUAAAUCUGACACCAAUAUCUUCGUGGGUCCAAGCAUCCUCUAUAUUCCUCCUUCCCAGAUCCAAACAUCAUAGGAUAAAAAGAGUAAGCUUCAGUGUCAGAGUGAAGAUCCGAGCUCAAAAAUGGAUAAAGGAAUAUUUACUUGAAGGUAGCAGCUUUGCAUAGUUGAUUAGAUCUCUCAGAGCUAAUAAAAAAGCUGGUCAAGGUCCCAUUCAGCGGAGAACUCAGCUAUUGAAGGUGUUUCAAUAGUAGGAGAAUAAUAAGAAGCAAAUUCAUCAAUAUAAAGGAAAUUCUACUUACUUUUGUAAGCUGAAUAAGCAAGUAGCACUUGAAGAAGAUGACACCUGUUUGAUGAUCCAAAAAAGAAGAAGGCAGAGCUCAAGGUUGAAGAAAGGCAGAUCCAUUUUAAGAGGAGGCGUGAAGUUAAUAGAGAUUAGGAAAAUGGGUGAUUUUGGAAACCCUACUGCCUUUUUGGGUCUUAAGAAAAUCCGGGUUGGACCGGGUCUUUCAAAUAGUAGUGGGCUUUUAAUUGUAAAAUGGGUUGGUCCGUUAAUUCUUGAAUAAUUUUUAAUAAAAUACCAAAUUAAACAAAAAAAAACUUUUAAUAUAGUAUAGAUUAGAGAUUGGAGAUAUAGAUUAUUAUUAUUAUUAUUACUACUACUACUAUUAUUAUUAUUAUUACUAUUACUAUUAUUGUCAUACCCCUUUUUAACUCCAAAAAGAUAUUAUUUUAAAGUUCGAAAGGGUUUUUAUUAUCAAAGUGACAAAAGAUAAAAAUUUAUUUCGAAAAGGACCUUUUAUAUUAAAAACUCAGAGGCGCCACUUGGCAUAAUCCGGUGUGCCAAAUCACCUUUGGAAAAUCCUUUUCAAAAUGAUUUGACUCUUUAAAACUGGUUUGCGAACAGAGAUUCCGGCUAAGAAUUUUGUUGAUCGACGGGAAGAUUUUAGGCACCCCUCGAUACCGUGGUUCGACCACGGUCACUGCGUAUCGGCUAAUUUGACACCAUGAAUGUAUAAAACCACACAAAAGCACGCAAAACAAUCAAUCAAGCAAACAAAAUGAAAAUAAUCCAAAAUUUGGUGUCCAGUCCAAUUUAUUACAUGCCGAAAUAGAAAAUACUGAAAUAAACCUACACUAACUUAUACUAGUCCUAAACUAUACUCUACCCGAUACCUCGGGCCUUCAUGACAGACAUCCUCCAUGUACAAAAUACCUCGAGGCAUUCCCCGGCGAAUAAACACAAAUAACUCGGGGUAUUCCCCGGCCAAAUGAAUACACUUUUAAUGCCGGAAGACCACAACCAUUCAACAAUAUUUCAAACAUUCCAAUAUUUAUAAUCCAUAAAUUUUCCUAUCACCCCUAUCGUUUGCCUUUCGAUUUGACGGCCUAAUCAUGAUACUAUCAAGUUCAAUGACAUCAAUGAAUCAAAAUUAGUCCGUAUUCAUUUUUUUGCUUUUCAAAUUCCGCCCUACUUUAAUUCUUGAUCAAUUAACCAAUUCCAAUACAGAAUCAUCCAAUCAAAACUACGACAAUCAUAGACGUUCAAAUAUACUAUCAAAAAUUAUAUCAUCAAUCAACAUGAAGCAAGCAACUCACAACAUCACCUCACCAAAUUAUGUAAAACAAAGAGAAGGAUCUGAAGAAUCGGACCUUAGAAGAAGCUUUAAAAAUUGAUGUAUUAUUCCAAGAAAAACUUGGUAUAAUCCGUGUCGAGAACCUUAAUUCAGACCUCAAUCACGAACUUGCCAACUCGAUCAAAACUGCAAAACAGCAGAGAAAACCAUAAAAAAAAUCCAAAUCUCAAUUUUUAAACCAAGCUUGAAACGAGUCACACCAGGUUUGCUAUUUUUGGUGAAGUUUGAACUCCCUGGAGCUCCGUUGGAUCUCGGCAGUUAGCGAAAUAAUGUUUUCCCAGUGAGAUUUUGCCAGAAAACUAGAAACGAAAGAGAAUUCAAAGAUUUUGAGGGUGCGGAUGGUCUAAUUCCGGUAAGGGAAUACCAAUUCCGGUGAGAAACUCGCCGGAAAAACCAAACCAGCCGUCCUUGAUUUGAAGGUAAUAUGUUUCCUAUUUUAUCAAAGAAAACUUGUGAGUUAAAAAACAUGGUGGAUGGCUUGUGUCUUUAGCUUUCGCGACAAUCGCUCUUGCCCCAGUCACAUUUAACCUUGCUUCCAACUAUUAGCAUAUGUCAUUGACUUGUUGCAUCAGUGAUCCAAAUUCAUAUUAGGAAGAGUGACUCUGCCACAAACACAGUAUCUCUGCUUUGCCAUGUUUCUCAGUUAAACCCUUUGAACAAUGGUAUUUCUGUGGGUUCCCAGACUUGUCUGUUGACAAAACUCUCUACAUGUCCUUUUUUUUUCAGCUCACAAUCAUGUCUCUUUCUUGCGCUGGCCUUUUUGUCUUGCUUUGUACAAUUGAAGAAGUUGGUAGCCAAUUUUAAAAUCUUUUUUCACUUGUUUCGACAUGGACUAGACUCAAAGACAAGAGCAAAAAUGACCAUGAUUUUUUAUUUGGAUAACUGACUCAAGAAAAAUAAAAUAAAAAUAAAAUAAAGAGAAGAAAGAAAAGACAAUGAAUGUCCCCAUUAAAAAAAAAUAAUGAAAAAUGUAUCUAAAAAUGAGAGUUAACUCUAAUGAUUAUGCCAUGCAUUUUGGAUUAAGCUGCCUGAUCUUUCAUCCAAACCUUCUACUAAUUGUUAUUGAGUUAAUGACCUUGAAACUGAAUUGCUUCCUUGGGCCAAUUUGCAUUCAAAAAUCUCAUUUGGCUAGUGGCACCUUGAAGGGUUUUCGCCAACAAGCCUCUCUCAUCUUCUUUUCCUCAACUCACCAUAGUCUUAUGGUGUCUGUAAGAGUUUUCACCAACGAGACUCUCUUAUCUUCAUUUCUCUCAACUCACAGUCGUCUUACGAUGCCCGUGAGAGUUUUCACCGAUAAGACUCUCUCAUUUUUACUGCUCUCUUGAUUUCUUAUGCCGAGGAAGACAAGUGGUUCCCAAAUGCAUCAUCAUAUCCCUUGUAUUCUUAGCCUUAACAUCCUCAAAGAUUGAUCCGAAGGUCUUUCUUUGGUUGUAACUUGGCUUUUGGAUAGGGUUAGAAAGAAGGGAUGGCAUGGGGCCCAAACGACACUUAAAGUGGGGUAGGACUUACAACUUUUAAAAUCGACUCAAAUAAUGAGGAUUAACUCAUGCCCCAGUUUUUAACUAUGCAAUUCUAAAUCAUUUAUUUGGUUGGCCCGAGCCCUAAGUAGGGCAGCCUACGUAUCUCACCCCCGGUAGAGGAGAAUCAAGUCAUGCGUAGUUCUGCCAACUUAUUUUGCUUGAUUCUGAUUUCUUUUUUCUUUUGACUUCUUUUUUUUUUCUUUGUAAUUUUUCUGACUCUAUUUACUUACUCUUUUCUUCCUUCUUGGACACAUUUUCCUCUUUUUUUUUUAACUUUCUGACACUACUCUCUUGCUCGAUACUUUUCUUUUGAACUUUGUUGGUUUUAUCUUGAUUCCAAAAAAAGGGUAUGAAAGAAAAUAACACUAAGGCUUAAAUGGGGUAAACAAAGGAUGACACAAUGUUUAGAUAGCAGAAUAAAAUGUCUUCGUCAUAUCAAUCCUUGAAAAUGCACGUACAUAUCAUGCAAUAUGAAAGUGAAAGAUGAAGAUCAUUUGACACCUUAACAACACUAUCUUUAAUUGAACAUGUGUGCUACUUCUUCCUCUACACUUCUCAAACAUAUAACUCCACCUUUGUUGUAUAUCCCUUACAUUGAAUGACUCAUACUUUCGUCGAGUUGAUUUUCUUUAUAUUCCUCUUGAUAGGAUCACGCAGACACUGUUUGACCUAAUCGAGACAUGUCUUUUAAUUGACGACCAAGUUAUUCUUGUGAUUCUCAAAAUAAUUGCCUUAAUUUUUAGAAAAGGCUUUAACUUGUCACCAAAUAUCUCAGCACUCUACUAUUUUCUUAGAUGUUUCUCCUAACUUUAGCCCUCUGAUUCAAUGUUCAUGCUUAAACUGCAUUUUAAGAUCUGACUGAAAAUUCUGCAGGCAUGUCAUAUUACUAGAAUCAACAUAAAAUAUGUUGUAUAAAGAAAACAAACAAACAACACAUUUGAAACAUAAAAGGAAAGGGACACUUCAUUUAGUUGAAAUAAAAGAUAAAAGGGUUUGAACAUAAACGACGAAGGGACAAACAAGAUAGAUCUCGAACUACAACCCUGAAAUACUUCAAAAAAUAAAAAAGAAAACAAAACAAACUACCAGACCUCUUCCUAGUAGGGAGAUGGGUGACUUCUCAUUUGCUCAGCCUGACAACUUAGCCACUGGUUUGCAUAUCAACAUGACCAGAGCUUCCCUCACUGUCAAUGUUCUGCACCAUAAUCGAUCCAUCUUGAAUCAUCUUUUCAAUUUCCCUUUUCAAAUCUCUACAAUCUUUAAUACUAUGACCCUGAGCAUCAGAAUUAUACGCACAUCAUACAUUAGGGUCAAAAUUUCUUGAACGUCGAUUAAGAGUGCACCCAAGGAAAGGAGUGUUCAUUCUCCACUAUACCAAUUUCUGAAACAAACUGGCAUACGACUCUCUAAUUGGUGUGAAGCUAUCUCUCGACUUCUGCCUCAUUUCAUCAUUUGGCUUGGAUCAAAAAUCAGGCGUAGAAGGGUUUUGGUAUAUUUGUGAAGUUAGAGGAUGACUCUGAAUUGUUGGUGUUUUCCACUGUGGGUAAGAUGGGGGUUGAUUAUGUGGUUGUGCAUUAUAUACUGAAUAUGGAGGUGGAGGAGCAGAGUAUAAUGGAUUUUAGGAGUGAUUAUGUGGAGCUUGGGCAGGACCUUGGGUUUGAGCCUGAGAGUGGCGACAACGGGGUCUUCUUGACCGUGCCCACUGUCCAACUACAAUAGAGGAUGCAACUUCCUCAUUCUUUGUCUCCACAACACUUCCUGAACCCUUUUGAAUUGCUUGAGUUGUCACUUUCAAUGUUGCAAAACUCACAAUGUGACCAGUCUUAAUUCCCCCUUCUAUCAUCUCCCCAUUUUAAGGACCUCAAUAAAUGACUUGCCUAAUGCAGGUAACAAGUGUUGAUAAUAUAUUUCAUCCUGUGCUUGAAUAAAUACCUUUGCUAUUUUGCUUUCUUUCAUUGGCGGUUUUACUCUCACAGCUUGUUCGCGCCAUCUGAACGCAUACUUUCUGAAACUCUCAGUAUUCUUCUUUUUUAUACUAGUUAGGGAUUUUUCGUCAGAGAUCAACUCCACAUUGUAUUGAAAUUGUUAAAAAAAUUCAUUAGCUAGGUCAUCCCAACUAAUCUACUUGUCAAUGUCUUGGUCAACAAACCAUUUCGAAGCUAGGCCUGAAAGACUCUCCCAGAAAUAAUCCUUGAGUAGUUCUUCCUUCCCUCUAGUGCCCCUCAAUUGGUUAUAAUAGCGACUCAAAUGUGCCACUGGGUCCCCAUGUCCAUCAUAGUUCUCAACCUUUGGCAAUUUAAAGCCAGGUGGAAGGUUGACACCUGGAAACAUGCAUAAGUCCUUAUAUGAGACACUUAUGUAACCCUCAAGUCCUUGCAAGUUCUUCAUAGCCAGUUCCAAACUUCUCAAUUUUUGGUCAUUUUUCCUCUUGUCCUUCUUUCAUAACAAGCUUCUUAGUGUUAGGAGGAAAUUCAAGCGGGUGAGUGUCACUGUAAAGACCAGUCAACUUGAAUGUAGGCUCGAAAGUGUAAUGCUGAUCACCAAUAAUAUUCAAUGCAGGCUUUCUUGUAGAGUAGGGAGGCACAACUUGUGGACGAACAUCAAAAGUAGGAGCUUCAGGUGGUGGUGGCACCGCAAAAGCAUAAACAACAGGUGGAGCCGAGUAUGUGGUAGUCUUGGAUUAGGGAGUGAGGAAAUGAACAUUAGAAGUGGUUGGGUAUUGUUGCCCCCGAGUCGAUCCUGAUGCAUGUUGUGGCAUAUCAACAAAAAUGGGAAAUUGUGCAUAUGACACGAGAGGCAAGAUGGAAAGAUAUUCCAGAUUAUCAUUGGGAACUGGAGGAGGAGGUAACCCAUUAGCCCAAGCUCGAUGCAUUCCUAUCAUUUGCUGCCUCAAUUUUCGAAUCACUUCAUUAGCUCCUACAUUCUCACUUCCCAAACUCCCUAUCUGAUUAGUGACAACAAACUCGGUAUCCUUGUUAGCCAUAACCUUCUCUAUGACUUGGUGCAAUAUGGAGGACCCGCUAAAAUGCCACAACCCAACCACCUCAAACUAACUGAACAAGAGAUAGCAAAUGUGUUAGAGUUCAACACUUUCUCAAAAUCUCUCCUUUUUUUUCUUUUUUAAAAGGUCACCGAACCCAAGAAGGGUGUCUACGUAUCUCAGCCCCCGAGAGAGGAGAAUCAGGUGUGCGUAGUUCGUGAAAUCUUGCCAAAAUGGUCAAAUAAACUCUUUUUCUUUUUCUUGAAACUUUAAAAAUAAAAGGAAAUAACAAAUUGUCAAAAGAAUUGACGAAAAUCUUUUUUGCAUUUUUUGGCUUUAAUAACCUAUACAAAAUGAAACCUAUGAUUACCAAAGAAAAGUCAUUUUGGAUUUUCGAUUUUAAAUUUCAUAUGAAAAUAAAACUUGAAACUAUUAAAGGAAAAUGUUUUUGUAGUUUUCUUUUAGAGAUUUAUAUAAGACACUUACUUUAAAUAAAGAGUGAAGAAAAUCUUUUAGAAUUUUUCAAAUAAGAUCUCCGAACCAAAAAUAGGUUGCCUACAUAUCUCACAUCCCGAAAGAGGAGAAUCAGGGGUGCGUAGUUUGUCCAGAUUGGAUAAUUAAUGAUUAAAUAACCAACUAAACCCGGACUUGAGAGACCAGACCACAAACAGAAGAUGAAAAACAUCAAUAAAAUCUUUUUAAGUUUUCAAUUUGAGUCUUAACCUAAAAAUGACACCAAUAAAUAUGCAAGGAAAAUCUUUUUGAUACUUUCGUUAUAUGAAAUGUAUAAAACUUCUAUCAGUUUUUAAAUUUUUCUUUUAUAAAAGGCUCCUAUUGAAAAAAAAUCUUUUUAAAAUUUUUGAAUUAUGAAUGCAUGCUAAAGGAGACAAAGCAAAAAACUUUCUGAUGUUUUUGAUUUUAGACAAAUGAGUGCAAAAGGAAAAAAAAUCUUUCUGAAUUUUGAAUUUUGAAAAACAAAAGCCAUAAAGAACUCUAAAAACUAGAAACUCUCUUUUUUUUCUUUUCGACUCACUAUUCUUCUUUUUUUUUCUUUACUUCUAACACAUGUUUUCCCCAAAUUAGUCCAUCAAAUGACCAUAUUACCCUCAAAGAUGCAACAAUUAACACGUAGGGAUGCUUUAGAGGCGAGUCUCCUACAAAAGGCCAAGUGGGCCCCGUUAGGUCUUCAAUAUGAUGCAUAUAAACAUGACCUAAAGGCUGACCUACGUUGGGGUUCACUAACAAGGCUGUUCGGAGGAGCGUAUAUUCGAUAGUGGUUGCUUUGCUUUCCAUCUACUCAAUAACACCGAUGGCUCCUCCCAUAAAAUAAGGGUGACUCAACUAGAGGUCGUGUGCAAUACAUGUACUAUGGACUUGUUGCAGAAAGAAUGACUCGGGCUAUGCACAUGAUGCUAGAUAUAAAGUAGUAACACAUAAGAUAAAACUGUAAACAAAGAGCAUGUAGGCACUCAAAAAAAAAAACAAAAAGCAACACAAACAUAUGUCUAUACACCUAUAGUGACAAACUAAGCUGAUACAACUCCAAAUUAAGCUCUAAUUCUGAAAAUAGAUCUCCAGCAGAGUCGCCAGAGCUGUCACACCUCUUUUAAACUCCAAAAAGAUAUUAUUUUAAAAGUUUGAAAGGGUUUUCGUUAUAAAAGUGACAAAAGAUAAAAAUUUGCUUCGAAAAGGACCUUUUAUAUUCAAAACUCAGAGUCGCCACUUGGCAUAAUCCGGUGUGCCAAGUCACCUUUGGAAAAUCCUUUUCAAAAUGAUUUGACUCAAACUGGUUUGCUAACAGAGAUUUUGACUAAGGAAUUUUGUUGACAGACGGGAAGGUGUUAGGCACCCCUCGAUCCUGUGAUUUGAACGCGGUCGCUUGUUGGAGCAUAUCGGCUAAUUUGACACCACGAAUGUAUAAACCACACAAAAGCACGCAAAACAAUCAAUCAAGCAAAAAAAAAUAAAAACAAUCCAAAAUUUGGUGUCCAGUCCAAUUUAUUACAAAUCGAAAUAGAAAAUACUGAAAUAAACCUACACUAACCUAUACUAGUCCUAAAUUAUACUCUACCCGAUGCCUUGGUCCUUCAUCACAGACAUCCUCCGUGUACAAAAUACCUCAGGGCAUUCCCCAACGAAUAAACACAAAUACCUCGGGGCAUUCCCCAGCCAAAUGAAUACAUUUUUAAUGCAAGAAGACCACAAUCAUUCAAUAAUAUUUCAAACAUUCCAUAUUUUAUAAUCCCUAAAUUUGCUUAUCACCCCUAUUGUUUGCCUAUCGAUUUGACGACCUAAUCUUGAUACUAUCAAGUUCGAUGACAUCAAUGAAUCAAAAUUAGUCCGUAUUCAUUUUUUUACUUUUCAAAUCCCAUCUCACUUUUAUUCUUGAUCAAUUAACCAAUUCCAAUACAGAAUCAAAACUACGAUAAUCAUAGACGUUCAAACAUACUAUAAAAAAUUAUAUCAUCAAUCAACAUGAACCACGCAACUCACAACAUCACCUCACCAAAUUAAGUAAAACAAAGAGAAGGAGUUGAAGAAUUGGACCUUAGAAGAAGCUUUCAAAAUUGAUGUAUUAUUCCAAUAAAAACCCGGUACAAUCCGCGUCGAGAACCUUGAUUCAUACCUCAAUCACGAACUUGCCAACUCGAUCAAAACCCCAAAACAGCGGAGAAAGCCACAAAAAAAAUCCAAAUCUCAAUUUUUGAACCAAGCUUGAAAUGAGUCAUGCCAGGUUUGUUAUUUUUGGUGAAGUUCGAACUCGCUGAAGCUCCGAUGGAUCUCGACAGUCAGCGAAACAAUGUUUUCCCAGUGAGAUUUUGCCAGAGAACUAGAAAUGAAAGAGAAUUCGAAGAUUUUGAGGGUGCGGAUGGUCUAAUUCCGGUAAGGGAAUACCGAUUUCGGCGAGAAACUCGCCGAAAAAACCAAACCAGUCGUCCUUUUUCUCAUGUAUUCCCUCUCUUCGAUCGAUUCUCUCCCUUUCUCAAUUUGGAUUGUCUUCUCUCCGAUCUCACGCUCAGAUUUGUCUCUCACUGUGGUUGUGUGUAUGUAUAAUGGUUUUGUGUGAAGGCAGGUGUAUUAAUGGAAUAAACUCAUCAGUGAUGGUGUCUAUAUAUUCCUCUUUCCCGUAUUCUAUAUGUGUAUAUGUUGAAUUGAGAUCUUUUUCUUUAUGGUUACCGUGAUGUUCGUCCAUGGCGUGUAGGUGUGUUCGUGGUAUAUGGGUCUUCUCUAAAAAUGGAAAAAAAUGGUCAGAAUGUUACUGUGUGGACAUCUCUGUAUUGUUAUCUAUUGUAUUCUUAUGUAUUCGCCUCCCAGUUUCUGUGUGAAGUGCGUGUGUAUAUUGUGAAUUACAGUGAGUGAGAAUUGUGUGGUAGUGGAGUAGGGUAGGUGGGCUAGUGAGGUGCGGGUAGGGGUAGGAUGUGAUGUGGUUUAUUUUGAUUGGAUGGGUUGUUAGGAUAAGAUAAAAUUAGCUAGGGAUUGUUAUUUUUGUCAUUUUGUGGAGAUUAUCACACGGGGUAGGGUACGCGGUAGGAUAAGGUAAAAAUGUGUAAAAAUGAUAUAGGGAAGGGACAAAAUUAGGUGUCUACAUCAUGCCCCCUUUGAAUGUAAACACAAAGUAUUUUUGAACAAAGAAGUAGACAACAAGACAGAAUUUUGUCCCGAUCAUUAUUCGAAGGAAAAAUAGAAGAAAGAAGAGCAAUCGAGUAUUGACUUAGGACACCCUACCUACCCAAGUUAUGAGGGAAUCAAGUGACAGGAUUCUCAAAGGAUUGAAAGGAGAUGGACUUUACCGAGUUGAAGAGUCGAGUGAGGUCCCGAUGAGGUUCCAGUCCGCGCAUCUGUUAUUACAUCAUAAAUAAAAGUUACAAGUUAAAACAUAAAUAAAAUUACAAAAUCAUAUCUAUGCAGUUAGUUUCUUUUGGACUCUUAACUUGAGUUUCAUCACUCUAUUCUUCAGGCGGGCUCCUGACUUGCAAUUUCAUCACUUGUUGCUUGGUUUUCAAUCUCUUCACCCUGUUCUUCAGGCGGGUUCCUAACUUGCUAUUUUUUCAAUCUGUUGACUUUAAAUUUCUUCACCUUGUUGCUUGACUUUCAACUUCUUCACCUUGUUACUUGACUUUCAACUUUUUCACCAUGUUGCUUGACUUUUCAUUUAUUCACCCUGCUCUUCAGGCGGGCUCCUGAAAUCACAUCAAUACUAAAAAGAAAAAUUAUCCCAAACAAAGAUUAUUAUAAAGAGAUUUCAUUUGUCAGGAAAGCGAAGUUCCAAACACAGGAUUUAAAUUUUCCCCAGUUUCUCAUCAAAGGACUUUUGGGAAAGUCACAUCAUUAUAGGAAUCAAAGGGAAUGACUAGACUAAAAGGAACAUCUUAUAAGAAUCAAAGGGAAUGACUCAACUAAAAGGUACGUCUUCUAGGAAUCAAGGGAUAUGACUCGACUAAAAGGUACUUCUUAUAGGAAUCAAGGGGCAAGGGGAAUGACUUGACUAAGUCUAAUGACUCGACUAGGGAAUGACUAGACUAAAAGGAACAUCUUAUAAGAAUCAAAGGGAAUGACUCAACUAAAAUGUACGUCUUAUAGGAAUCAAGGGGAAUGACUUGACUAAAAGGUACGUCUUUUAGGAAUCAAAUGACUCGACUAAAGGCACAUCAUCUAGGAAUCAAGGGGAAUGACUAGACUAAAAGGUACGUCUUCUAGGAAUCAAAGGUAAUGACUCGACUAAAAGGUACGUCAUCUAGGAAUCAAGGGGAAUGACUCGACUAAAAGGUACGUUUUCUAGGGGUCAAGGGGAACGAUUCAACUAAAAGGUACGUCUUCUAGGGGUCAAAGGGAAUGACUCGACUAAAAGGUACAUUUUAUAGGAAUCAAGGGGAAUGACUCGACUAAAAGGUACGUCUUCUAGGGGUCAAGAGGAAUGACUCGACUAAAAGGUACGUCUUCUAGGAAUCAAAUUAAAUAACUCGACUAAAAGGUACGCCUUAUAGGAAUCAAGGAGAAUGACUCGACUAAAAGGUACGUCUUCUAGGGGUCAAGGGAAAAGACUCGACUAAAAGAUAUGUCUUAUAGGAAUUAAAGAAGAUGACUCGAAUAAAAGGUACGUCUCAUAGGAGUGAAGGUUCAAUUUAAGAAGUGUAUCACCUAGCAAAUGAAAACUAAAAUCCCUGGACAAGAAAGUGUCUCCGAGGGAUAUAGGAUGAUGAUUUUUUACAAUGACUUGAUUAUUAAACCUGUCCAACAACAUUGUUUCCUGCAUUUGUAGGAGUGAGGCAUUGCAGACCUUGAUAUUUAUGUUCCGAAUUCCUUGAUUUAAAGGUAAUAUGUUUCCUAUUUCAUCAAAAAAAACUUGUGAGUUAAAAAAUAUGGUGGCUGGCUUGUGGCUUUAGCUUUUGCGACAAUCGCUCUUGCCCCAGUCACAUUUAACCUUGCUUCCAACCAUUAGCAUAUGUCAUUGACUUGUUGAAUCAGUGAUCCAAACUCAUAUUAGGAAGAGUGACUCUGCCACAAACACAGUAUCUCUGCUUUGCCAUGUUUCUCAGUUAAACCCUUUGAACUAUGGUAUUUCCGUGGGUUCCCAGACUUGUCUAUUGACAAAACUUUCUAUAUGUCCUUUUUUCAGCUCACAAUUAUAUCUCUUUCAUGCGCUGGCCUUUUUGUCUUGCUUUGUACAAUUGAAGAAGUUGGUAGCCAAUUUUAAAAUCUUUUCUCACUUGUUUCGACAUGGACUAGACUCAAAGACAAGAGCGAAAAUGACCAUGAUUUUUUAUUUGGAUAACUGACUCAAGAAAAAUAAAAUAAAAAUAAAACAAAGAGAAGAAAGAAAAGACAAUGAAUGUACCCAUUAAAAAAAAUAAUGAAAAAUGUAUCUAAAAAUGACAGUUAACUCUAUUGAUUAUGCCAUGCAUUUUGGAUUAAGUUGCCUGAUCUUUCAUCUAAACCUUCUACUAAUUGUUGUUGAGUUAAUGACCUUGAAACUGAAUUGCUUCCUUGGGCCAAUUUGCAUUCAAAAAUCUCAUUUGGCUAGUGGCACCUUGAAGGGUUUUCGCCAACAAGCCUCUCUCAUCUUCUUUUCCUCAACUCACCAUAGUCUUAUGGUGUCUGUAAGAGUUUUCACCAACGAGACUCUCUUAUCUUCGUUUCUCUCAACUCAUAGUCGUCUUACGAUGCCCAUGAGAGUUUUCACCGAUAAGAAUCUCUCAUUUUUAUUGCUCUCUUGAUUUCUUAUGCCGAGGAAGACAAGUGGUUCCCAAAUGCAUCAUCAUAUCCCUUGCAUGCUUAGCCUUAACAUCCUCAAAGAUUGAUCCGAAGGUCUUUCUUUGGUUGUAACUUGGCUUUUGGAUAGGGUUAGAAAGAAGGGAUGGCAUGGGGCCCAAACGGCACUUAAAGUGGGGUAGGACUUACAAUUUUUAGAAACGACUCAAAUAAUGAGGAUUAACUUAUGCCCCAGUUUUUUACUAGGCAAUUCUAAAUUAUUUAUUUGGUUGGACCAAGCCCUAAGUAGGGCAUCCUACGUAUCUCACCCCCGAGAGAAAAGAAUCGGGUCAUGCGUAGUUCUGGCAACUUGUUUUGCUUGAUUCUGAUUUCAUUUUUCUUUUGACUUCUUUUUUUUUCUUUGUAAUUUUUCUGACUCUAAUUUACUUACUUUUUUUCUUCCUUCUUGGACACAUUUUCCUCUUUUUUUGAAAAAACUUUCUGACUCUACUCUCUUGCUCUAUACUUUUCUUUUGAACUUUAUUGGUUUUAUCUUGAUUCCAAAAAAGGGGUAUGAAAGAAAAUAACACUAAGGCUUAAAUGGGGUAGACAAAGGAUGACACAAUGUUUGAAUAACAGAAUAAAAUGUCUUUGUCAUAUCAAUCCUUGAAAAUGCACGUACAUAUCAUGCAAUAUAAAAGUGAAAGAUGAAGAUCAUUUGACACCUUAAAACCACUAUCUUUAAUUGAACAUGUGUGCUACUUCUUCCUCUACACUUGUCAAACAUAUAACUCCACCUUUGUUGUAUAUCCCUUACAUUGAAUGACUCAUACUUUCGUCGAGUUGAUUUUCUUUAUAUUCCUCUUGAUAGGAUCACGCAGACACUGUUUGACCUAAUCGAGACAUGUCUUUUAAUUGAUGACCAAGUUAUUCUUGUGAUUCUCAAAAUAAUUGCCUUAAUUUUUAGAAAAGGCUUCAACUUGUCACCAAAUAUCUCAGUACUCUACUAUUUUCUUAGAUGUUUCUCCUAACUUUAGCCCUCUGAUUCAAUGUUCAUGCUUAAACUGCAUUUUAAGAUCUGACUGAAAAUUCCGCAGGCAUGUCAUAUUACUAGAAUCAACAUAAAAUAUGUUGUAUAAAGAAAACAAACAAACAACACAUUUGAAACAUAAAAGGAAAGGGACACUUCAUUUAGUUGAAAUAAAAGAUAAAAGGGUUUGAACAUAAACGACGAAGGGACAAACAAGAUAGAUCUCGAACUACAACCCUGAAAUACUUCAAAAAAUAGAAAAGAAAACAAAACAAACUACCAGACCUCUUCCUAGUGGGGAGAUGGGUGACUUCUCAUUUGCUCAGCCUGACAACUUAGCCACUGGUUUGCAUAUCAACAUGACCAGAGCUUCCCUCACUGUCAAUGUUCUGCACCAUAAUCGAUCCAUCUUGAAUCAUCUUUUCAAUUUCCCUUUUCAAAUCUCAACAAUCUUUAAUACUAUGACCCUGAGCAUCAGAAUUAUACGCACAUCAUACAUUAGGGUCAAAAUUUCUUGAACAUCGAUUAAGAGUGCACUUAAGGAGAGGAGUGAUCAUGCUCCAUUGUACCAAUUUCUGAAACAAACUAGCAUACGACUCUCUAAUUGGUGUGAAGUUAUCUCUCGACUUCUGCCUCAUUUCAUCAUUUGGCUUGGAUAAAAAAUCAGGCUUAGAAGGGUUUUGGUAUAUUUGUGAAGUUAGAGGAUGACUCUGAAUUGUUGGUGUUUUCCACUGUGGGUAAGAUGGGGGUUGAUUAUGUGGUUGUGCAUUAUAUACUGAAUAUGGAGGUGGAGGAGCAGAGUAUAAUGGAUUUUAGGAGUGAUUAUGUGGAGCUUGGGCAUGACCUUGGGUUUGAGCCUGAGAGUGGCGACAACGGGGUCUUCUUGACCGUGCCCGCUGUCCAACUACAAUAGAGGAUGCAACUUCCUCAUUCUUUGUCUCCACAAUACUUCCUGAACCCUUUUGAAUUGCUUGAGUUGUCACUUUCAAUGUUGCAAAACUCACAAUGUGACCAGUCUUAAUUCCCUCUUCUAUCAUCUCCCCCAUUUUAAGGACCUCAAUAAAUGACUUGCCUAAUGCAGGUAACAAGUUUUGAUAAUAUAUUUCAUCCUGUGCUUGAAUAAACACCUUUGCUAUUUUGCUUUCUUUCAUUGGCGAUUUUACUCUAACAGCUUGUUCGCGCCAUCUGAUCGCAUACUUUCUGAAACUCUCAGUAUUCUUCUUUUUUAUACUAGUUAGGGAUUUUUCGUCAGAGAUCAACUCCACAUUGUAUUGAAAUUGUUGCACAAAUUCAUUAGCUAGGUUAUCCCAACUAAUCUACUUGUCAAUGUCUUGGUCAACAAACCAUUUCGAAGCUAGGUCUAAAAGACUCCCCCAGAAAUAAUCCUUGAGUAGUUCUUCCUUCCCUCUAGCGCCCCUCAAUUGGUUACAAUAGCGACUCAAAUGUGCCACUGGGUCCCCAUGUCCAUCAUAGUUCUCAAACUUUGGCAUUUUAAAGUCAGGUGGAAAGUUGACACCUGGAAACAUGCAUAAGUCCUUAUAUGAGACACUUUUGUAACCCUCAAGUCCUUGCAAGUUCUUCAUAGCCAGUUCCAAACUUCUCAAUUUUUUGGUCAUUUCCUCUUGUCCUUCUUUCAUAACAAGCUUCUCAGUGUUAGGAGGAAAUUCAAGUGGGUGAGUGUCACUGUAAAGACCAGUCAACUUGAAUGUAGGCUCGAAAGUGUACCGCUGAUCACCAGUAAUAUUCAAUCCAGGCUUUCUUGUAGAGUAGGGAGGCACAACUUGUGGACGAACAUCAAAAGUAGGAGCUUCAGGUGGGGGUGGCACCGCAAAAGCAUGAACAACAGGUGAAGCCGAGUAUGUGGUAGUCUUGGAUUGGGGAGUGAGGAAAUAAACAUUAGAAGUGGUUGGGUAUUGUUGCCCCAAAGUCGAUCCUGAUGCAUGUUGUGGCAUAUCAACAAAAAUGGGAAAUUGUGCAUAUGACACGAGAGGCAAGAUGGAAAGAUAUUCCAGAUUAUCAGUGGGAACUGGAGGAGGAGGUAACCCAUUAGCCCAAGCUCGAUGCAUUCCUAUCAUUUGCUGCCUCAAUUUCCGAAUCACUUCAUUAGCUCCUACAUUCUCACUUCUCAAACUCCCUAUCUGAUAGUGACAACAAACUCGGUAUCCUUGUUAGCCAUAACCUUCUCUAUGACUUGGUGCAAUAUGGAGGACCAGCUAAAAUGCCACAACCCAACCACCUCAAACUAACUGAACAAGAGAUAACAAAUGCGUUAGAGUCUAACACUUUCUCAAAAUCUCCCCUUUUUUUCUUUUUGAAAAGGUCACCGAACCCAAGAAGGCUACCUACGUAUAUCACCCCCUGAGAGAGGAGAAUCAGGUGUGCGUAGUUCAUGAAAUCUUGCCAAAAUGGUCAAAUAAACUCUUUUUCUUUUUCUUGAAACUUUAAAAAUAAAAGGAAAUAACAAAUUGUCAAAAGAAUUGACGAAAAUCUUUUUUGCAUUUUUCGGCUUUAAUAACCUAUACAAAAUGAAACCUAUGAUUACCAAAGAAAAGUCAUUUUGGAUUUUCGAUUUUGAAUUUCAUAUGAAAAUAAAACUUGAAACUAUUAAAGGAAAAUGUUUUUGUAGUUUUCUUUUUAGAGAUGUAUAUAAAACACUUACUUUAAAUAAAGAGUGAAGAAAAUCUUUUAGAAUUUUUCAAAUAAGAUCCCCGAACCAAAAAUAGGUUGCCUACAUAUCUCACAUCCCGAAAGAGGAGAAUCAGGGGUGCGUAGUUCAUCCAGAUUGGAAAAUUAAUGAUUAAAUAAUCGACUAAACCCGGACUUGAGAUACCAGACCACAAACAGAAGAUGAAAAACAUCAAUAAAAUCUUUUUAAGUUUUCAAUUUGACACUUAACCUAAAAAUGACACCAAUAAAUAUGCAAGGAAAAUCUUUUUUGAUAUUUUCGUUAUACGAAAUGUAUAAAACUUCUACCAGUUUUUAAAUUUUUCUUUUAUAAAAGGCUCCUAUUGAAAAAUAAUCUUUUUGAAAUUUUUGAAUUAUGAAUGCAUGCUAAAGGAGACAAAGCAAAAAACUUUCUGAUGUUUUUGAUUUUUGAGAAAUGAGUGCAAAAGGAAAAAAAAUCUUUCUGAAUUUUGAAUUUUGAAAAACAAAAGCCAUAAAGAACUCUGAAAACUAGAAACUCUCUUUUUUUUUCUUUUUGACUCACUAUUCUUUUUUUUUUUUUUUUUUUUACUUCUAACACAUGUUUUCCCCAAAUUAGUCCAUCAAAUGACCAUAUUACCCUCAAAGAUGCAACAAUUAACACGUAGGGAUGCUUUAGAGGCAAGUCUCCUACAAAAGGCCAAGUGGGCCCCUCUAGGUCUUCAAUAUGAUGCAUAUAAACAUGACCUACAAGGUGACCUACGUUGGGGUUCACUAACAAGGCUGUUCGGAGGAGCGUAUAGUCGAUAGUGGCUGCUUUGCUUUCCACCUACUCCAUAACAUCGAUGGCUCCUCCCCUAAAAUAAGGGUGACUCAACUAGAGGUCGUGUACAACACGUGUACUAUGGACUUGUUGCAGAAAGAAUGACUCGGGCUAUGCACAUGAUGCUAGAUAUAAAGCAGCAACACAUAAGAUAAAAUUAUAAACAAAGAGCAUGUAGGCACUCAAAAAAAUAACAAAAAGCAACGCAAAUAUAUGUCUAUACACGUAUAGUGACAAACUAAGCCGAUACAACUCCAAAUUAAGCUUGAAUUCUGAAAAUAGAUCUCCAACGGAGUCGCCAGAGCUGUCACACCCCUUUUUAACUCCAAAAAGAUAUUAUUUUAAAAGUUUGAAAGGGUUUUCGUUAUAAGUGACAAAAGAUAAAAAUUUGCUUCGAAAAGGACCUUUUAUAUUCAAAACUCAGAGUCGCCACUUGGCAUAAUCCGGUGUGCCAAGUCACCUUUGAAAAAUCCUUUUCAAAACGAUUUGACUCAAACUGGUUUGCGAACAGAGAUUUCAGCUAAGGAAUUCUGUUGACCGACGGAAAGGUGUUAGGCACCCCUCGAUCCUGUGGUUUGAACACGGUCGCUUGUUGGAGCGUAUCGGCUAAUUUGACACCACGAAUGUAUAAACCACACAAAAGCACGCAAAACAAUCAAUCAAGCAAAAAAAAUAAAAACAAUCCAAAAUUUGGUGUCCAGUCCAAUUUAUUACAAAUUGAAAUAGAAAAUACUGAAUAAACCUACACUAACCUAUACUAGUCCUAAAUUAAACUCUACCCGAUGCCUUGGGCCUUCAUCACAGACAUCCUCCGUGUACAAAAUACCUCAGGGCAUUCCCCAACGAAUAAACACAAAUACCUCGGGGCAUUCCCCAGCCAAAUGAAUACAUUUUCAAUGCAAGAAGACCACAAUCAUUCAAUAAUAUUUCAAACAUUCCACAAUUUAUAAUCCCUAAAUUUGCCUAUCACCCCUAUUGUUUGCCUAUCGAUUUGACGACCUAAUCUUGAUACUAUUAAGUUCGAUGACAUCAAUGAAUUAAAAUUAGUCCGUAUUCAUUUUUUUACUUUUCAAAUCCCGUCUCACUUUCAUUCUUGAUCAAUUAACCAAUUCCAAUACAGAAUCAACCAAUCAAAACUACGAUAAUCAUAGACGUUCAAACAUACUAUCAAAAAUUAUAUCAUCAAUCAACAUGAACCACGCAACUCACAACAUCACCUCACCAAAUUAAGUAAAACAAAGAGGAGGAGUUGAAGAAUUGGACCUUAGAAGAAGCUUUCAAAAUUGAUGUAUUAUUCCAAUAAAAACCCGGUACAAUCCGCGUCGAGAACCUCGAUUCAUACCUCAAUCACGAACUUGCCAACUCGAUCAAAACCCCAAAACAAUGGAGAAAACCACAAAAAAAAAAAAUCCAAAUCUCAAUUUUCGAACCAAGCUUGAAACGAGUCACGCUAGGUUUGCUAUUUUUGGUGAAGUUCGAACUCGCUGAAGCUCCGAUGGAUCUCGGCAGUCAGCGAAACAAUGUUUUCCCAGUGAGAUUUUGCCAGAGAACUAGAAACGAAAGAGAAUUCGAAGAUUUUGAGGGUGCGGAUGGUCUAAUUCCGGUAAGGGAAUACCGAUUUCGGUGAGAAACUCGCCGGAAAAACCAAACCAGCCGUCCUUUUUCUCAUGUAUUCCCUCUCUCCGAUCGAUUCUCUCCCUUUCUCGAUUUGGAUUGUCUUCUCUCCGAUCUCACGCUCAGAUUUGUCUCUCACUGUGGUUGUGUGUAUGUAUAAUGGUUUUGUGUGAAGGCAGGUGUAUUAAUGGAAUAAACUCAUCAGUGAUGGUGUCUAUAUAUUCCUCUUUCCCGUAUUCUAUAUGUGUAUAUGUUGAAUUGGGAUCUUUUUCUUUAUGGUUACCGUGAUGUUCGUCAAUGGCGUAUAGGUGUGUUCGUGCUAUAUGGGUCUUCUCUAAAAAUGGAAAAAUAUGGUCAGAAUGUUACUGUGGGGACAUCUAUAUUGUUAUCUAUUGUAUUCUUAUGUAUUCGCCUCCCUAUUUCUAUGUGAAGUAUAUGUGUAUAUUGUGAAUUCCAG
rnacentral:lncRNA from 1 species